rnacentral:rRNA from 1 species
CACGUAGGGGGCAAGCGUUGUCCGGAUUUAUUGGGCGUAAAGAGCUCGUAGGCGGUUCAGUAAGUCAGGUGUGAAACCUCCAGGCUCAACCUGGAGACGCCACCUGAUACUGCUGUGACUGGAGUCCGGUAGGGGAGCGUGGAAUUCCUGGUGUAUCGGUGAAAUGCGCAGAUAUCAGGAGGAACACCAGCGGCGAAGGCGGCGCUCUGGGCCGGUACUGACGCUGAGGAGCGAAAGCGUGGGUAGCAAACAGG